rnacentral:tRNA from 1 species
GGAGGUGGCUGAGGUCUGGUGGCUUCCCUGGUCUUCAAAACCAGUGGCCUGCCGUAGGCGGGUUGUGGGUUCGAUUCCCAUCCCCCUCCG